rnacentral:rRNA from 1 species
CGAAAGAUUAGCUAAUACCGCAUAUUCUCUGAGGAGGAAAGCAGGGGACCUUCGGGCCUUGCGUUAUUCGAGCGGCCGAUAUCUGAUUAGCUAGUUGGUGGGGUAAAGGCCUACCAAGGCGACGAUCAGUAGCGGGUCUGAGAGGAUGAUCCGCCACACUGGGACUGAGACACGGCCCAGACUCCUACGGGAGGCAGCAGUGGGGAAUUUUGGACAAUGGGCGCAAGCCUGAUCCAGCCAUGCCGCGUGUCUGAAGAAGGCCUUCGGGUUGUAAAGGACUUUUGUCAGGGAAGAAAAGGAAAGGGUUAAUACCCCUGUCUGAUGACGGUACCUGAAGAAUAAGCACCGGCUAACUACGUGCCAGCAGCCGCGGUAAUACGUAGGGUGCGAGCGUUAAUCGGAAUUACUGGGCGUAAAGCGAGCGCAGACGGUUACUUAAGCAGGAUGUGAAAUCCCCGGGCUCAACCUGGGAACUGCGUUCUGAACUGGGUGACUAGAGUGUGUCAGAGGGAGGUAGAAUUCCACGUGUAGCACUGAAAUGCGUAGAGAUGUGGAGGAAUACCGAUGGCGAAAGCAGCCUCCUGGGAUAACACUGACAUUCAUGCUCUAAAGCGUGUGUAGCAACACGAUUAGAUACCCUGGUAGUCCACGCCCUAUACGAUGUCAAUUAGCUGUUGGGCAAC